ACCUCCCGACGCGCGCUGCCCCCGACUGACGCUCGCCAGGGUAG
rnacentral:misc_RNA from 1 species